AUCUAUUUCUUGAGUGGCAUACUAGUUUCCUAAAGCUGCCGUAGCAAAUUACCAUAAACUGAACGGCUUAAAACAGCAGACGUUUAUUGUCUCACAGUUCUAGAGGCUAGGAGCUUGAAAUAAAGGUGUCGGCAGGACCGUGCUCCUUCUGAAGGCUCUAGGGGAGGAGCCUGCCUUGUUUCAUCCUAGCUUCUGGUAGCUGCCAGCAAUCCUUGGCAGUCCUUGACCCGUCGAUGCGUCACUCCACUCUCUGCCUCAGUUGUCACUGGGCAUUCUCCUGUAUCCUUCUGUCCAAAUUUCCCUCAUAAGGACAGUGGUCAUGGGAUUAGGACCCACCCUAAUCCAGUAUGCCCUCAUCACAACUUGAUUAUGUCUGCAAGAAAUCUAUUCCAAAUAAGGUUACAUUCUGAGGCUGGAUGAACAGGAAUUGGGAGGCGACACUAUUGUGUGCAGUAAAGAUGGUUAUUCCUCCUCUGGACUUAUAAACUCUGUGACCUCAGCAAAGGCAUCUAUCUUGUUCACCACUCUGGCCCCCUGCUGCCCAGUAGAGUGCCUGGUCAGUUAAGAGGCCAGUGAAUAUUUAGUGAACAAACGAAUGAGCAAGAGUUGCUUCACUUCCGUGAGGCUCAGUUCUCCUUAUGCGUCAAAUGGGAAUGGCAGCAUCGCUUCAAAGGAUCGUUGAGGAGGAAUCCACAGCAGCACGUAGAGAAUGCGCAAAAAUUGAUCACCUGGGACUUGUUGAAAAUGCACAUCCUGAUUCAGCUGAUCUGUGGCAGGACCUGAGAUUCUGCACCCACGAGCUCUCAAAUGAUGCCAAUGCUGCUGGCCCUAGAGCGAACUUGAGAAGGAAGGAUGCAGCUGACUUGAGCAGGAGGUCAAAGCUGAUGAGUUAGAUUUGGAAAUGCUGAGUUUGAGUUGCUUAAGUGAUUCUCAAAUGGAUAUUUCAAUGGGGCAGUUGUAAACACAGGGCCAGGAGUUGGAGGGGGAGAUGGGGGCGACAGUUUCUGACAUGGCACAUCAUACAGGAAGUUGGUGAGCUUGGGUAUGGGCAAGGAAAAAACAAAGACAAUGGGGGAUGCCUACACUGGGGGAAGAAAAAAGAGAGGAACAGAAAAGGAGCAGCUGGAGAGAGAGAAACCAGGAUAGCGCAGGGCCACAAGACAGCCAACUGCUGUAGAGAAUAUGGACAAUGAGCCAAGAACUUGCC
rnacentral:lncRNA from 1 species